ensembl:lncRNA
CACCCCCCAGGCUAAUGUGGAGAAUAACCUGUGGGGAAGGAGACUUGGUGCAAGAGGGAGUUGACAGCGAAGAGGAGUGGAAGAAGAGUUAGAAAUGUGCUGAGGGAGAGAGAGAUAUCCAGAAGGGAAGGUCACAGAUAGGGGAGGUCUUUCAUACUCUCCUAUGAGUCCACCUGGAGAGUUAAUGGGAUGGUUUGUGUUGCCAUGCAUCCAAGGGAAGAGACCUGCUGUGCUGAAAAGGCAUAAUACAGGCUUCAAGCCAGCUCUAAGUGUUUGGCAGCCCAUGCCUGACCGAGGAAAUAAGCACUCAGAUGGCUGCUUCUGUGGAUGCCCAGGAGAAAGGCAGGAUAAACUAACAAAAUGGAGCAGGGCUGUAUAGUGAAAGUGUUUGUUGUCUGGAGGACUCUGGCUUCACUUGCUGGAGAGGGCUAGAAAUACAUAAUGAAUAAGACAGGAUACUCCAGAAAGCCAUAAAAUAGUCUCAGGGGGCAUGUUUGACGCCUCUGUGGAGAGCUAGAUUCUGCAUCUUGCUCAGCCACAGACUUGGUUCCUAUCCCUUGAAUGGAAAAGCUGACCACAACGUGCAUGCUUCUCAGCUUCUCAUUUCUUGUAUGUCCAAGGUGCAUUUCACUGGACAAAAUCUUCUCCUUCAGCUCAGCGUUUCUGUAUUCUAUUCACUCCAUGUUGGCAACCCUGCACAUAGCAGGGGGGUUGAAACUACAUCAUCACUGGGGUCCUUUGAAACUCAGGCCAUUCCAUGGUUCUAUGAUUCUCCUGUUGCCACCUCCAUGGGACACCACGAAGAGGCCAGCAGCUUUGGUUGGCCACAGGUCCUUCUGACACCUGUGACCAGGCAUUGGAGGCUCCCUGCCUCAUCUCUGUAUCUCAUAGCUCCUGGAGUGGGCUGUGACAUAAAUACCUUGCGGGAAGUACAGUGUGAUGAGGAAGCUGUGCCAGCCACCCCACUCAGCCCCACUGCCAUACUGUCUGUGGCAACACUGGUGUGUGGUUGCAGGAGGCAGUGAUGCUGAAUGGAAGAAACCUGAUGACAGGGUAUAUUUCACAGCAUGACAGCUGUAACACAGGAUCGUAAGAAAUGUUUGCACUUUGAAAUGCUUUAUCUUCCGUUUAAGGGAUAGUGUUUCUGGCAGGGAAAGAAUAUAUAAGGGUAUUAAAUGACUUUCUUUGCAGGCAAUUAAACAAGGAAGCCGAUCAAAGACAUUUAAAUAAUUAUAACAGAUGUUUAUUGCCUGAUGCAGUUUACUGCAUCCUAUUAUUUCUGUUACAUACAGGAGGAAAGAACACAUGGCAAACUGUACCACAAAAGAAAUUCUUUACUGCCUUGUGAUGAAUGUGGCUGCUUCUCUGACUCCCCUUAAUUGUAUUGUGUUGAGAACAAAUCAGUGAGAAGUAGUGUUUGGAGGGUAGAGAAGUGGCUUACUGAAUGGAGGAGCAGCACCAAGUGGUGUGCAAAGACAUGGGGUUGGUGGUAAACACCUUUGAGACAACAGACUGCUGUGGGAUUGCUCCAAGAGUGAUGCUUAGCUCACUCACACUGGGAACCUCAGUUUCUCCUGAAGUUAUUCAUAUAGUACUUAGAGGGACAUCCUGUCUCAGGAUAAAAGUGUUAGUGGCACUGUAGUCUGCAGGGACAUCUGGGAAUGGGCUCAGGUGGGCAACUAAGGAUCAGUAAAAGGCAAGCAUGUGACAGCUCCCCCAGGUACUCUCCAGACAUUUUUUGUUGUAGGGCCAGGUGCAUUUUCUUUGUCAUUAAUAACAUAAUAGCAUACUUUAGCACUAUGUAUUUAAUUCUGUAUAUUUAAAAACAGUUUUUUUUCUUGCCGUGAAUUUAAGCAUUUGGAAUAGACUGUGUAGGACAGUAAGUAUUCUAGAGGAACCUAUGAGCUUUUCACCUGGUUAACUCUUUUAUUUCUCCAAUUAAAAGAAAGGGAUGUUUGUUUCCCUAAACAAUAACAAAAGGUUCUAACAACCACACUCCUCCCAAUCCCAAAUCCCCAAAUGAAA